AUUGAACGCUGGCGGCAGGCCUAACACAUGCAAGUCGAACGAGUGGCGGACGGGUGAGUAAUGUCUGGGAAACUGCCUGAUGGAGGGGGAUAACUACUGGAAACGGUAGCUAAUACCGCAUACCAUCGGAUGUGCCCAGAUGGGAUUAGCUAGUAGGUGGGGUAAAGGCUCACCUAGGCGUCGAUCCCUAGCUGGUCUGCGAGGAUGACCAGCCACACUGGAACUGAGACACGGUCCAGACUCCGACGGAGGGCAGCAGUGGGGAAUAUUGCACAGUGGGCGCAAGCCUGAUGCAGCCAUGCCGCUUGUAUGAAGACGGCCUUCGGGUUGUAAAGUACUUUCAGCGGGGAGUCGUUACCUGCAGAAGAAGCACCGGCUAACUCCGUGCCAGCAGCCGCGGUAAUUC
rnacentral:rRNA from 1 species